UAUAAUACCAUUAUCAUUAUCAUCCAACAUCUAAUUUAAAUAUGUAGUAACAACAAUAAUAAUAAUAAACAUAUUUAUACUUGUACUAAUAGUGCUUAUAUGUUUAUUAGUAAUAACACUAAGAAAUGCAUUGUAUAGCAAAUUUCUCUAAAAUGCAUUUAGGGAUAAUUAAGGGGUUCAAUAAUGAAAUUUGUAUCAUUAGGAUCGGGGUGUAACAACUAUUAUUGAGGAACAUAAGACCACUUUAUUCAAGGGAUGCCUUUAUUGUUUUGAAAAGUAAUUCCACAUGCGCACUUCAUCACUGAAACUAAAACACCUUAUCAUUCUUCGCUGAUUGGUGCAUGUUUUUCCUAGUGACUGCCGCAUUCUUUCCAAAUCCUUCGGUCAUCCGACUCACCUUUAAAAAAAUGACAAUUUAGAACCAGAUAAUAAAUUUGAGGACAAAAUAUAGUAGUUGGGAAAUGUAAAAUUCGGAAAGAAUCAAACCUGCAAUCAAGUUAAUGCGCCUAUCAAAAUCCAGCAUGAUCUUCAACAACGUUUCAUAUGCAACACGCUCCACACUUGGAGAUUGAAGAGGAAUAUCAUAUCAAUCCCAUAAUUGACCAUCAAGUAAACCAAAUAUUGUAAUGUAAACCAACAUAUUUGUCAUGAUAUUAAAUGAACAAUAUACGUAUUAUAUCACCAUUUUAUUUUCAAUCUUUCACAAUGAUUCAAUGUUUGAAGACAAAAAGGCAAUGAUCAAGACAACCGACAACUUGAAACCAUUCAUGAACUUGCUAUUUCAUGAAUCAUAUAAGAUCUCAUCAUUAACGGAUGUUUACUGAGUCUGAAACAUUCCAUAUAUUAGAAAAUGAUUGGAUUAUGAUAACAUACUACACCGAACGGGAUAUUGAAUAGGGAUUGUACCCGUUACCUGAUAGCCUCUCCGGUGUUUUAACACCUAGUACCUCAUCCAACUACAUUGGUUCACCAAGUUUAGCAACAUAUGGAUC
rnacentral:lncRNA from 1 species